AGCUUUGCACAGUGGCAGUAUCACAGCCAAUGGGCUUUAUCUGAGGCGCAAUUAUUGCCAAUUGAAAACUUUUCCCAAUACCUCAUCAUGACGACUUGCAAUAUAGUCAGCAUUGGCAAUUUUUGGUCUCUACGGAGA
ensembl:snRNA U4 U4 spliceosomal RNA